rnacentral:lncRNA from 1 species
UGUAUGUAUGUAUGUAUGUAUGUAUGUAUAUCCGCGCACUGCACUUGCGAUGUAUGUUGUUGGUCUGUCUGUUGGGUUGUUGUUGUACAUGUCGUACUGUACGUGAUACUACUUUAUAAUUAGUAGUAGUACACAUACGCAGCAGCAUAUGAUGGCUCCGCGGGUAUGUGGAUAUUAUGGGACACGCGCAUGCACGACGGUGUGGCGAUGAUGCACCCACGUAGUAGUUGUACAUAUUGUUGUUGUUGUUGUUGUUGUUGUUGUUGUUGUUGUGUAUGCUCUUUUUUCCCUUCUCGUCGGACACACGAUCUCUCUCUAUAUGCAUAUCUACACCAACACAAUCAAACAAUGCUGCUGUAUCUACUUGGCACGAUUUGGCACAUAUGUAAAGUAUAAUAAUAAUAACCCUAACGGUAUAUAUACCAACAACAAUCUCGCCGCGUGCACAAGCGUGCCAACCCGCC